AGAGUAAAAUAGUACGUGAAAUUGUUGAAAGGGAAACGAUUGAAGUCAGUCGUACCGACGGGUAAUCAGCCUUUUGGGUGUGAUUAUGUGGAGUGUAAGGAGUUAAUAGCCCUUAUUUUUACAUAUUCGUGCACUUUGGGUGUACUUGCUCGUGUGGUAGGUUAACAUCAAUUUCGAACAUCAUAAAAUGGCUAGAGGAAUGUAGCUUCGAUCUCGUAUUGAAGUGUUAUAGACUCUGGUAGAUGUGAUAUUUGGGAUUGAGGAUUGCAACGGAUACCUUUCGGGGCUACCCGUCUGAUCUCUGAGAGUUACUCUGGUGCUGAAAGCUUGCUUAUGGUAUCAAAGUUGACGUUCAAUAGGUUAGAACGGGAUAAAUUCGUUAAGGAUGUUGACGUAAUGGCUUUAAACGACC
rnacentral:rRNA from 1 species